AUUGAACGCUGGCGGCAGGCCUAACACAUGCAAGUAGAGCGAGUGGCGGACGGGUGAGUAAUGUCUGGGAAACUGCCUGAUGGAGGGGGAUAACUACUGGAAACGGUAGCUAAUACCGCAUACCAUCGGAUGUGCCCAGAUGGGAUUAGCUUGUUGGGGGGGUAACGGCUCACCAAGGCGACGAUCCCUAGCUGGUCUGAGAGGAUGACCAGCCACACUGGAACUGAGACACGGUCCAGAAUCCUACGGGAGGCAGCCGUGGGGAAUAUUGCACAAUGUGCGCAAGCCUAAUGCAGCCAUGCCGCGUGUAUGACGAAGGCCUUCGGGUUGUAAAGUACUUUCAGUCGGGAGGCGUUACCGACAGAAGAAGCACCGGCUAACUCCGUGCCAGCAGCCGCGGUAAUUC
rnacentral:rRNA from 1 species